GCCCGGUUGUACUUGUAGAGUGUUGACAAACACAUAAACAAGCAAAACAAAAACCUUGAAAAUAAGCAUUGCAGAAAGGAGGAAGGACUACUCAGGAGGAAUUCAAGAAGGUGUACACUGACAGACAGGCAAACAGAAAAUAUUAUCAGUGGUGACGAAGGCUGGAGGAUAGAGGACUCAUCUCAAGAGCAGCCAACAACAAAAACAGCACCACUGCCAGCAUACAUCUUUCACCACAUCCUGUUCAGCAUUUGACUUCUCAACGCAUCAACUACAGGAGCUUAUCCAUUCAUUUCUGGAUGCCCUCAUGUCUUAGUUAUUCUGGUUAUCAUAUUCUACAAAGACAUGGCUUUCUCUGUUUCUGAAGCUACUCUUUUUUAAUAUACAGUAUAGUAAAUUACCAAAUAAU